rnacentral:rRNA from 1 species
GGACCCGCACAAGCGGUGGAUGAUGUGGUUUAAUUCGAUGCAACGCGAAAAACCUUACCUACCCUUGACAUGCCAGGAACUUGCCAGAGAUGGCUUGGUGCUCGAAAGAGAACCUGGACACAGGUGCUGCAUGGCCGUCGUCAGCUCGUGUCGUGAGAUGUUGGGUUAAGUCCCGCAACGAGCGCAACCCUUGUCAUUAGUUGCUACGAAAGGGCACUCUAAUGAGACUGCCGGUGACAAACCGGAGGAAGGUGGGGAUGACGUCAGGUCAUCAUGGCCCUUAUGGGUAGGGCUACACACGUCAUACAAUGGCCGGUACAGAGGGCUGCCAACCCGCGAGGGGGAGCCAAUCCCAGAAAACCGGUCGUAGUCCGGAUCGCAGUCUGCAACUCGACUGCGUGAAGUCGGAAUCGCUAGUAAUCGCGGAUCAGCUUGCCGCGGUGAAUACGUUCCCGGGUCUU